UACGUAGGCAGCAAGCGUUGUUCGGAGUUACUGGGCGUAAAGAGUGCGUAGGCGGUGUCGAAAGUUUGGCGUGAAAUCUCCCGCUUAACUGGGAGGGUGCGCCGAAAACUGCGGUGCUGGAGUGUGGGAAAGGCAAGCGGAAUUCCUGGUGUAGCGGUGAAAUGCGUAGAUAAUCAGGAGGAACACCGGCGGUGUAGACGGCUUGCCGU
rnacentral:rRNA from 1 species